GCUUGAGGUAGAGGCGCAAUAUUCAAGAGUACACUGUUUGAUAUUUCAGGGAUAGAUGAGGCAGUGGAAAGGGGAUGUUGCCGAAGUGAUAAUAAUCCUGAGUUAUUAUCGCUGGGCAUAUGGUGAAUAACCAUGUGACUGUCAUCAUGUGAAUGGAUGGAGUGCUGCCUAAAGA
rnacentral:ncRNA from 2 species